GUCUCUUCUCCCAAGUGACAUUCAGCUCCCCGCCAAACUACAGCCAUGAAGAUACUUUACCUUCUAUUUGCCCUCUUCUUCUUGGUGGCACAAAGUAGUGCACAAGGUUCUGACCGUCGUGUCCUUAGCAUUAGGAGAUGUUUUCGUUUUGGGGGUGGAGUCUUCCUUGACCGAUGUCCUCGCGGGUCCAUGUACUUAGGACGCACCUCUAGGAGACUUCGUUGCUGUAGAUGUCGUAGACGGUACUGAUUCUGAGUGAUGGCAUCAUAGAUUGUCAAUGCAGGACCUCUGGGAAUCUGGCAGAUGACGCCUUGCUUCUAAAAUCCAUGGGGGAGCCCUUGUAUUCCCCAUAAUAGCUUGUUCUUGUCCUUUUAAUAAAAGUAACUGGCUGUGGUGGUGUAUUGCAAA